GGGCAGGCGGGGCUCCUCGCACCAGGUGCUGCGUAACUGAUCAGUGCCCUAGAACCGAAUGGCAGAAAAUUCUGACCAGGUCUUCCUACAAAGUCUCCACCAGCAUCUGGAGGUUUGGGCUGCAAGACAAAGGCUGGUUCCCCAUCCAUCAGCUUUCUCGAUGUCUUCUCUUCCUGGGGUCAGACUGGUAUGUAUUGCUUCCGUUUUGGCCAAUUCCGCACGUAGCCUGUGCCAGGGGUCCAGGGGGAGACAAAAGGAAAAGGGACGCCCACUUCAGGAAGAGAUUUAAACAAGAUAAAAUUUUCUCUUUCUCAUGGAAUUAUCUGAGAAUAAGCAGUCUAACGGCCCUUCGCGUCAGGGACGGAACCCAAGAUGUGGCCUACACGAAGCCGGAGGUUUGGCCCUGCUGCAACACCGUCCCCUCAGCGAGCACCAUUGGCUGCUGUCUCGGCCUCGGUUUAAAGCUCUGUUGGCUCACCCCGACCUGAGUCCUAGGUAUUUUGUGCCUGCUCCUUCCCUAGACUGGGAUGUCCUUGAAAGAGGCCACCACAACCCUCUGCUUUCCUUCUGGCCCCUUCCCCCCUUCAUCCCCAGCAGAAGCCGUUGUGAACCUCGGAAAGCCUAAGCGACAUUACUCACGAUUCACAUUACUCCCCUGCUCUGUGCCCUCCCAUGGCUUUGCCUGAGGCCUCGAGUAAAAUCCAUACUUGUCACCGUAGGGCCCCUAAUGACUCCCAACAUCAUUCCUUCCUACUUUCCCCUCCCCUCACUCACCACUCUCCGGCCAUGUUGGCCUCUCCCAUCCCGCCAAGCUCACUCUGCCUUGGCUGUUCUUCUCCUUAACACGCUCUUCCCUGGACCUCCAUGUGGCCCGCUGCUCCUUGCUACUCAUUCCACAGUCCCAACGUUACCUCUUCUGAAAAGCCUUCCAGACCACCUUUCUAAGUGGACUUCCCCAUCCCAGCAUAAUUCUGUGCCCUGUUACCCUGUUUGAAUGUCUUCAUAGCAUUUAGGAUUAUUAGAAUGAUCUCUUUGAUUUGUUUUCCUGUUUGCCUUCUGUCCGUUCAUUACCCACCCCCACCUCCCACCCACUAGAUUGUAAACUCUAUAAGACACUCUAUGAUUGAGUCACCUUGUGUCUCCAGUACCUAGAACUCCAGCGUGCAGGGAUGGGAGGCACUUGGCUAUGAACCAGGUGAAUCCUGAAUGUUUCACAGCACUAAGCUCAGUUUGCUCAUUUAACAAAGCUUUUGAAAUGAUUCUUAUUUCAACCAAAAUGUGAAUACAGUUUUGGGUCUUCUCCAGAGAAACUAAUUCACGGAGCAGCCUUACAAAAACAUGACACAUUUGACAGAAAUAGCUGGACCCCAGAUUGCACGUGUAGGGGCGCAGGCGGGGUCCUGGGCUAUGGGAAUGUUUGCCAGUCCAAUUUAAGGUGUGCGUAAAAAGUGCAGAAUAAGCUUUUGCUUGUACCCCCUGUACCAACGUCCUCUCUGGUGCCUAGUGGCAAGCUGGCAAGAAGCAGCCUGUGAGGGCAUGGGGCAGAAAAGCGUCAGUCCUGGAUUUCUGCCUUGCUCCAGCCUCCUAAUACCCAUGAGGAGAUAGCAGCUCUCAGCACCUGGCCCAGGCUCUCCAUGAAAUCCUGGCAUGGCAACCAGAUGUGGGAUGCCAGGCCGCCACACAGGGAGGCGAGAGAGCUUCAGUGAAGGAGACCGGUGCUGACAGAGGGGAAUAGAAGCACGCCAGGGAACAGCUGGAGCCCGGGACGGAGGCAGCGGGGAACAGACCUGCGUCUCCAUCAAGGUUUCAAGCCAUCCUCUGACAUCGCUCGUCAGGGAUUUUACCGCUCUCCCAGGUCUGUGUGAUUCACCCCGAUCCAGCUGGCAAGGUGAAGGGGCGAGGGGGUGUUUCCCCCAUACUACAUCUUCACCAGGCUCACAAGGUGGUCCCGGGGCUCCUCUGGGUGGUCUUGGGCGGGUAGAGGUUAGCAUCCAAGUCCCAAGUCAGACUGAGUCUACUUUCAGGGCGCGUUUUCCACCGAUGGUGUACAUUUCCAUUCAAAAGCCCUAAGUGAGCAUUGAAACAGAGCCAUGAUGAAGGUUAUUCGCCCAGACACAAACUCCUAAGAUAUAUUUUGUGUGCUGGGGAAGGAGCGGCCCCCAAAGGCUGAGCAAAGGCAACUCAGGAGCUCAGCAUGUAGGUGGUUUUUGUGGUUUUGGCUUCACCGAAAGUUCCAGAGACGGAGAGGUUUGGCGAUGACUGUGAGGGCAUCUGGUGUGGAUCACUCUUUCGGUCCAGUUGAAUUGAAUCCACCAAGUAGGAGCCAUGUACCUGCGCCGUGCCAAGCACCGUGUUAGGUGUUGUUGGUGGACAGGAGGCCUGUCAAAGUCUGUCCUCCUGGACCUUAUUAUUCGGUGCGGGAUGCAAACAAGAGUUGCCCUGGUAGCGAUGUGAUCACAGAGGGCGGCAGCUGCCUCUUUCUCGUCCAGACCCAGAGAUUUAGAGUCCCGAGGCCCAGUUCAAGUUCCCAACCCACCAACCUCUAGCUGUUGAACUUUGGGCCACUUAAUAUUUUUAAGCCUUAGCUUGCUCGACUAUAAUAUUAGGUUAUUAUAAAUGAGGGGCGCCUGGGUGGCGCAGUCGGUUGAGCGUCCGACUUCAGCCAGGUCACGAUCUCGCGGUCCGUGGGUUCGAGCCCCGCGUCCGGCUCUGGGCUGAUGGCUCGGAGCCUGGAGCCUGUUUCCGAUUCUGUGUCUCCCUCUCUCUCUGCCCGUCCCCCGUUCAUGCUCUGUCUCUCUCUGUCCCGAAAAUAAACGUUGAAAAAAAAAUUAAAAAAAAAAAAAUAAAAAAAAUAAAUGACAUCUGCCCUGUCCACGUCAUGGGUCGUUAGGAGGGCCUGAUGAGAUAAUUUACCUGCAAGUCUUUUUGAGCUCAUAAGGAGACCUUUGAAUUGUUACUGGGACGACCAAGAACUUGGUUUCGGAAGAUUUCAACGCUAUUCUCUCACUGUUGUUCACUGUUAGGUUAUUAACACUACUUAUUAUUAAUAAGAUGUGAAAAUCUGAAAAAGCUAUCAAUAUGCAUUGUCCAGGAUAGGAGCCACUGGCCACACGUGGCCUUGGAGCACCUGAAAUAAGGCGAGUCUGAAUGUGAACUUGGUAAAAAAAAAAAAAAAAAAAAAAAAAAGAGAGAGAAAAGAAUGUAAGCUAUCUCAUAAUUUUUUAUAUUGAUUACAUGUUCACACGAUAAUAUUUUGGAUAUAUUGGGUUAAACUAAAUAGGUGAUUAGAAUUAAUUUAAUUCCUUUUUUUAGUGCAGCUACUAGAAAGUUUUAAAUGACAUACAUGGCUCCCAUUAUGUUUUUACAGGACAUGCAGCUAUCGAGGCUCUCUUUGGAAACUUUGUUCUGCCCACAAGUACUCAUGGACAUUCACAUGCUUUCAGAGGUCGUGUAGACGCCCUUAAAGUCCCAUUUGUGACUAUUUUAAAGGUCGCUUUUUAUUUACACCGAAAAUACGUAUAAGAACUGUUUCUGUGAAAUUAGGUCACAGUCAGCGAGAACCAAGAGACUUACAUUCCUCUGUGCAGGAAACAGUUUCAUCAUCACUGCCAUCAAAGACGCUGCAUGGAAGGUCAGCUCUGGACUGUGUGUAGAGCGCUCCGAUCGAGAUCGUUAGAUCUCUGCAGAUAGGCGGCUAACGCGUCACUACAAAUGUGGGUAGAAGGAGGACACCCUAAAGUUUCACGAAUGAAGAGAUUUUCUGAGGAUCAAGCCAACGGCCGCGCUUCCCUCCCAUCCCCGGAUCUGUCCCCGCCCACCGCAAAAAGGCCAAAGGAAAAGGAAGAGCCAUCCUUUUGCUGUGCCUCUCUCGCUGAGUUCCCCUUCACAUUCUCUGAGGAAUUAUCUAUGCCUAUUUUAUCAGUGGAGAAAAGGAGGCUCAGAACGGCCCAGAAACUUGCCAGCCGUCACGUGGGUAGAAGAAGCAAACUGAGAAGCAAACGCUUUCCAGAGUUGGGCCGCGUCUGGGAGGUACUACCUUUAAACAUGGAGUCGACUGCGACCUAACGAGACCCAAGGAGUCUGCUGGCUGGCCUGGUCCCCAAGCAGAAGCAGAUCACUGCCCAACUUCUACGUGUGGGACGACCCGUGGCAACAUAAAGGGCAAACACACAAGGAAGUCUUUCUUUCUGAGAAUGUUUCCACUGCAGUUAGGUUAGAAAAUGAUCCGGGGAAGAUAUAAACUAGCUCUUUCAUUUAGCAAAAUAAAAUGCCUCUCCACUUGGUAAUCUGGGUGGUGGAAGUCCCAGCCAGAGUCUUGGUUUUUAAAGGUUUUGUUUAAUUUGCCACCCCCACACCUCUCCUCCCACCACCUCGCAUCAGGCUAGACAAGAAGAAAGGGGACAGUGGCCUGGCAGAUGCCUCCGUGUGGUAUGUCCUUGCAGAAUAGCUUCAGCAGCACUUUAUGUCAAAUAACCAGGGGAAAAAAGGGAAGUGGAGGUGAUGGGAGGUGUCUGCAUUUCCUGGGGUUUUGUUCCAGUUUUAAUAAAUAAGGAUAAUGCAUAGAGUGUCUCCAUUUCCAGAGCUGUGUUUUUUUCCUUAAACACUGCCGCUCUUCAUGGGGAAGGAAUGAGACAUUCCUGACACAUGAUUUGGCAGGUCUCAAUCAUAAAUGAUCCAAUAUUGGCUUUCAGAAUCCCGUUCCAGAUUUGGCCCAGACUCCAAACCCUGUCCAGGCACCAGCUAGAUGAGUACCUCUGGGCCUGGGCGGGGUGCCAGCCACACUUUGAAUAACAUUUGUGGGAUCUCCCCAGGGGUUCUGGUGAGGAAGGCAGUGAUUUGUUGUCCGGAUAGCUUUUCCCUCCUUGGAAAAGAGCACACGGAAUGAAAGCGCAUGAAGGACAUCAGGUGUCCCCACAGGAGUUUCAUAAUAGCGAAGACACGGAGGAGCCACCAUGCAGGGACCAAGUGAGGAACGUUUUGUCCCCGCCCUAAGGUACUUGCCCUCAAUCAGCUAAUCCCACUAUGGUACGGCUGGUGGCACCUGUCAAGUUAAAAAGUGAAAUCUACCAAACUUAUUUGUCUUUGGGGGUGGGGCUGUGUCUUUUCCUGAGUGGUGCCCCGUCUGGCAUUUCUCAAAACAUGAUCUAGAGACUCGUCUGCAUUAGAAUCGAGGGGAUCUAGUUCCAUGGUGGAUUUUUGGUCUCCUAAUCACCUACCAAGUAUGUGCGAACUAGAGCCAAGAAUUUGCUUCACAGCAACCUGCCAGGCAAUCCUGAUACACCCCAAAGUUGUGAGCCAUUGGCUAUAAAAAAUCCUUCACAUAUUUUUAAUCCAUCGCAGCACCUCGUGGCGGUGGAGAGUAAGACUGGCUUCGUUUUGCUGAUGGCCAUGUGAAUUUGUUUCACUGCGUGUCUACUUACUUAGGGAAAGUUUGAACUGCUAAAGACAGGGGCUACUUUAAGCCUUUGCUCUUGCCGAUUGAUACAUGUAUCUUGUCCUUUUGCAGUUAUGGUUAUCAUCUGCCCACCAACAGUAUUUCUAAGAAGCUGCUUCUCUGUGUCUUCUGGGAAGAAUGUAUCCUUCAAUAUAUGUGAUUGCAGCCUGUUGAUAAAAGCAAAAGAAAAAUAAUAAAACCCACUUUGUUGAAC
rnacentral:lncRNA from 1 species